AUUGAACGCUGGCGGCAUGCCUAACACAUGCAAGUCGAACGAGUGGCGGACGGGUGAGUAAUUUCUGGGAAACUGCCCGAUGGAGGGGGAUAACUACUGGAAACGGUAGCUAAUACCGGAUGCCAUCGGAUGCGCACAGAUGGGAUUAGCUAGUAGGUGGGGUAACGGCUCACCUAGGCGAAGAUACCUAGCUGGUCUGAGAGGAUGACCAGCCACACUGGAACUGAGACACGGUCCAGACUCCUACGGGAGGCAGCAGUGGGGAAUAUUGCACAAUGGGCGCAAGCCUGAUGCAGCCAUGCCGCGUGAAUGAAGAAGGCCUUCGGGUUGUAAAGUACUUUUAUCGGGGAGGCGUUACCCGCAGAAGAAGCACCGGCUAACUCCGUGCCAGCAGCCGCGGUAAUAC
rnacentral:rRNA from 1 species